rnacentral:rRNA from 1 species
CCGCGUGUGUGAAGAAGGCCUUCGGGUUGUAAAGCACUUUCAGUUGUGAGGAAAAGUUAGUAGUUAAUACCUGCUAGCCGUGACGUUAACAACAGAAGAAGCACCGGCUAACUCCGUGCCAGCAGCCGCGGUAAUACGGAGGGUGCGAGCGUUAAUCGGAAUUACUGGGCGUAAAGCGCACGCAGGCGGUUUGUUAAGCUAGAUGUGAAAGCCCCGGGCUCAACCUGGGAUGGUCAUUUAGAACUGGCAGACUAGAGUCUUGGAGAGGGGAGUGGAAUUCCAGGUGUAGCGGUGAAAUGCGUAGAUAUCUGGAGGAACAUCAGUGGCGAAGGCGACUCCCUGGCCAAAGACUGACGCUCAUGUGCGAAAGUGUGGGUAGCGAACAGGAUUAGAUACCCUGGUAGUCCACACCGUAAACGCUGUCUACUAGCUGUGUGUGACUUUAAGUCGUGAGUAGCGAAGCUAACGCGCUAAGUAGACCGCCUG